GAAGGGGGACUAAUAACACAAAGAACUGCUAAUUC
rnacentral:tRNA from 1 species